CGGCGAAGCCGCGAGGUGGAGCGAAUCCCAAAAAGCCGGUCUAAGUUCGGAUUGCAGGCUGCAACCCGCCUGCAUGAAGUCGGAAUCGCUAGUAAUCGCGAGUCAGCACAUCGCGGUGAAUACGUUCCCGGGUCUUGUACACACCGCCCGUCACACCAUGGGAGUUGGCAACACCCGAAGUCGAUGAGCUAACCGUAAGGAGGCAGUCGCCUAAGGUGGGGUUGAUAACUGGGGUGAAGUCGUAACAAGGUAAC
rnacentral:rRNA from 1 species